rnacentral:rRNA from 1 species
GGGCCCGCACAAGCGGUGGAGUAUGUGGUUUAAUUCGAUGCAACGCGAAGAACCUUACCAGGGUUUGACAUCCUGCGAAUUUCUGGGAAACCGGAAAGUGCCUUCGGGAGCGCAGUGACAGGUGGUGCAUGGCUGUCGUCAGCUCGUGUCGUGAGAUGUUGGGUUAAGUCCCGCAACGAGCGCAACCCACGUCUUUAGUUGCCAGCAUUUAGUUGGGCACUCUAGAGAGACCGCCGGUGAUAAACCGGAGGAAGGUGUGGAUGACGUCAAGUCAUCAUGCCCCUUACAUCCUGGGCUACACACGUGCUACAAUGGCUAGGACAGACGGCCGCAAACCCGCGAGGGGGAGCCAA